CUUUUCUCAUUUUAAUUCAGGCCUUUGUUACCAACGUCCUUGUUAGGAUAGUCAUCCAUGUUUAAGUUAGUCAGUGAAUGACUUCCUUGUCGUCUUCUCUUCCAACUCUUCAUUCUAGGAUUAGCUCUCCUGUUAUUAAUAGAGAUUUUGAUGAACAAUAGCCUUGUUAUCUAAAUUUCCUUGCAUAUACUCACUCUUACUGCACUUGCUUCUUGCCAAUGCUAGCAUAGUGAUGCCAAAGGGAAAAAUAGAUUUUGAAGAUCUAUAAUUUCUUAUAAUUUAUUUUUCUUAUAGUCACUUGUAAUAUAUAUAUACCUUAUCACUAUAUGUAUGAAAUUUGUGUUUCAAAUUCCAGCAAACUUAAUUGAGGACCUUGUAUUGUUUGUUGGGAACAUCAUUUUUUCUCAUUGAGUUUCUUUCAGAAACUCCAAAAUGUGCUAGAUUAUUAUUAGAUUGUGAAGCUACAGAAGUGUUACAAGAUAUGCAGGAACACAUGACUGUUCUCUCAAAAGAUCCAGAAAUAAAAAUGCUUGAGUACUGGCUUUGAACCUUUUUCUUUUUGCUGUGCUUUGUUUGCAGAGUAUGUCAUAAUUGGAAAUUGUUAUUCUUUAUGACAUUUUUUCAUAGGUCAUUUAACAAGGCCUUGCAAUAUUCCAAAAUCAACUAUCAUUGUAAAAAUGCAAAGGCCAUGCGACAAAUUCUGGAGUAUCCUUCAGUUUCUAACAUGUUAUUUUGCUAACUUUGCAUUAUGUCAAUAUUUGAAGAACAUCUUUCAAUUGGACCAUUAACUUAAAUUUCUAGAACUUUGAAACUAAAUGUGGUUACCAAUGGCCAGAUUUGUACAGUAGCUUAACUAUUGUUGAUUUAUGCAUUUAGAUUCCCCUCAAUUUAGAGCGGUGAUCAAGUCAACAAAGGGGGAGUAAGCUGCUACUUUCAGGUGUAGAACCAUACUUUUAGCUACUGUUGGUAGGAAACCUAAUCUAUGUAAUCACUGUGUGGGAUUGACCUAGUUUAAAAGCUAGGUUUCAGGGAGCAUGAUCGAUUCGACAACUCUAGCCUUCAAAAUAGCUGUUGAGAGCCAAUAAUAUCUGAGUCAUAGGAGCUAUGUACACAAUCUGUUGUUUGCUUGUUCGCAUUUCCUUUAAGAAUCUCAGUUCAUUUUGCUUGCCUUUUCAGGUUGUAACUUGUAGCUGGAAAAUUCUAAUCAUAAUGAAUUUCCAAGUGCAUGCUCUUCUAACUGAUUCCUCACUUUCUACUCUGUUUGACUGCAUCAAGUCUAACAACUUCUGCAAAAGUGAUUUGGAGUGACUAAUGAAUCUUUCUAAAUGGGUUGCUUUCACUAAUCUCACUCUCUCUAUGUCUAAAGAUGAAAUACCAUCACAAGUUAAUACAUUUCACUAAAUCUCCACCAAUUGAUCUCCGGUGAUUGGAAAUACCAUCACAAGUUAAUACAUUUCACUAAAUCUCCACCAAUUGAUCUCCGGUGAUUGGAAAGCAAUCGGUGGCAGUCGCACUAAAACAUCCAUUGGACAUGAUAGCAUUGGCUGCUUGUGUUGGGUGAAAAGAGUCCCAAAAGAGAUAUUGAUCUCUGUUGGAACAUGGGCGCUCCAUAGGUAAGCAACUGAGCUGCCCUCCAUAUCUUCCAUGACCGCAACAAGCUUGGUUAGUGACCAAGAACCCUAGAAACAAUGAUUCCAAAAAUCAAAAGUGAGAUAAAAAUAUAGAUAAAGAAGGUAGGUUUUAUGCACACUCCUCCAAUUUUCCAUGUACUAAAAAUCUUUACAUUAGUUCAUCAUAAAACUCAAUAUAACUUUGAAGAGUGGAAUUCAAUGACCUUACCAUACUUUGAAGAGUUUUGGACCAUGUCAAUGAAGGUAUCAUAGAUGUUGUGGAACACAAAGAAGGAACCCGGCAGAGUGGAGUUCAGCUUGAGCAUUGCUUGUUUGAGGUUUUGGUUGAAUGGCCUCACUAGGUCAUUAACCGCUUCAACGCAUCCAGUGGCAUUGGGGUUCAUGGCUAAUUGAUUAGGGAUGCACCCGAGUGGACCGAUCCCAACCAAGAGCAUCUUCCUAGCUCCUAUAUUGUACAUCCUCUGGGAAGGAAUAAUUUUAGUUAUGAAGAUGCAGGCUUACAGUUCCAAAACUGAUACUACUUAUGAAGAUGCAAGUUGUCGACGAGCAGCUUGGCAAAGUCUUCCCCAGAAUAAAUCCUACUAGUGGAGUAGAAUUCGGGAAGAAGAUAGUUGUUGAUAUAGUCAUUGCUUCCGAUGGUGACGAUGAAGAGUGAGCUUGAAAGGUAGUCAGACAGUGCCUCAGGAUCUAAAAGUAGGGUUGUCAACUGUAUCUCAACUGUCUUACCAAACAGCUCAAUCUGCUCAUUGAGGGAAAUCUUGCUUCCCUACAUCACAACACAAUACCUUACUAAUUCCAUUGUGUGUCUUUGAGAAACAUAAUUCAAAACAAGUAUCAAAAGAGCAGAGAGUCGAGUUACAUAAUUGUUUCCAGUCUCAUCGAGAAUGCCUGCAGCAGCCGAUCCAUAGUUCACUCCUCCCAUGAUCAUGGCAGCACCUGAUGGCACACUGAGAUAUGGCGGAGGAAAUGGCAAGCCCAGUCUGUGACAGUUAGGCCAUUGCAGAACCGACCGGUCGGGCCAAUGAAGUCGAUACCAUAAGGGUAGUAGUUUGCUCGGGCAACGGAAGCAAUGUAGUUGUUGUUGCCACUGUCAAUGAGGGAGUCACCGAAGAUGAACAUAGCCGGAACUGUUGCACACCUAGUAGUAGUGCAAAAGAGGAGGCCCUGGAGCACCGCCAUGAAGAGGUUGAGUCUCUUCUCCAUUCUCGCGAGGGGUGAGUGAAGGAGGGACUACAACUACUACUGAUUUAAACACUUUUGCUCAUGAGAUGGAAUACAAAGCACUUUUCUUCUUUGCUUGCCAUUGAUUAUGGCCAUUUAUGUGGAGGAAGUGCUCCCUCAUUCAUUUUUAGAUCACAAUGGGAACCAACUAAAUGGCACAUGAUGACACUGAGGGUGAAAAGUUACAAGAAGAUGACCAUUGGGGAGUCUAGAAGUACUACUCUUGCAAGAGAGGUUAUAGGCGAGCAAAUUUAUUCGGCAUGCAAGCUAAGAGAUCCCCUCUCACUCUACCGAUGUGGUUUAUUGGUUAAAUACACAGCAGAAGAAUAAGAGAAUCAGAGUUUAAAUUCUAAAUGAGAUAAGUAUUUUUAGGUCCGUUUUUAAGUAUAUAUAAGUUAAGUUUCAGAUUUACUUGAUAGAUGAGAUAGAAGAGAAGUCACUUUAAGUACAUUAAAAAAAAUAUUAAAAUAGAUAACAUCAAACUUUGGACUAUCGGCUUAGUCUCACUGUAGCCACAAGUAGAUAAGAACUAAGUAAGUG